rnacentral:lncRNA from 1 species
GCCAAAGCCUGUUACGCGCGGAACCUAGCAGAACGCAGCCCUCCUCCCGCCCAACCGACCGAGGGGCACUGCCGCAUGACGCGCGGCGCGAUUAACCGAACCGGUCGCGAGCAUGCAGGAAAGAUGGAUGUUAGGCUAAUAUUCGAGGAAAAUUAAAUCUAAUCAUAACUAGACUAAGCUAAGCUAUAGCUAAGCAAGCAGAAAUUACCAAAAUCAGAAACAAG